rnacentral:rRNA from 1 species
AUUGAACGCUGGCGGCAGGCCUAACACAUGCAAGUCGAACGGUAACAGGAAGAAGCUUGCUUCUUUGCUGACGAGUGGCGGACGGGUGAGUAGUGUCUGGGAAACUGCCUGAUGGAGGGGGAUAACUACUGGAAACGGUAGCUAAUACCGCAUAACGUCGCAAGACCAAAGAGGGGGACCUUCGGGCCUCUUGCCAUCGGAUGUGCCCAGAUGGGAUUAGCUAGUAGGUGGGGUAACGGCUCACCUAGGCGACGAUCCCUAGCUGGUCUGAGAGGAUGACCAGCCACACUGGAACUGAGACACGGUCCAGACUCCUACGGGAGGCAGCAGUGGGGAAUAUUGCACAAUGGGCGCAAGCCUGAUGCAGCCAUGCCGCGUGUAUGAAGAAGGCCUUCGGGUUGUAAAGUACUUUCAGCGGGGAGGAAGGGAGUAAAGUUAAUACCUUUGCUCAUUGACGUUACCCGCAGAAGAAGCACCGGCUAACUCCGUG